rnacentral:rRNA from 1 species
AGGAAAAGAAACUAACAAGGAUUCCCCUAGUAACGGCGAGUGAAGCGGGAAGAGCUCAAAUUUGAAAUCUGGUAGCCUUCGGUUGCCCGAGUUGUAAUCUAGAGAAGUGUUUUCCGUGCCGGCCCAUGUACAAGUCCCUUGGAACAGGGCGUCAUAGAGGGUGAGAAUCCCGUCCUUGACAUGGACCCCCGGUGCUUUGUGAUACACUUUCAACGAGUCGAGUUGUUUGGGAAUGCAGCUCAAAAUGGGUGGUGAAUUCCAUCUAAAGCUAAAUAUUGGCGAGAGACCGAUAGCGAACAAGUACCGUGAGGGAAAGAUGAAAAGCACUUUGGAAAGAGAGUUAAACAGUACGUGAAAUUGUUGAAAGGGAAACGAUUGAAGUCAGUCAUGCUCUUGGGACUUACCUCCCUUGAGUGGGGUCAACAUCAGUUUUGAUCGAUGGAUAAAGGCACGGGGAAGGUAGCACUCUCGGGUGAACUUAUAGCCUCGCGUCAUAUACAUUGAUUGGGACUGAGGAACGCAGCAUGCCUUAUG